rnacentral:tRNA from 1 species
GUGUCUAUAGCUUAAAAGGAUAAAGCAUUAAAUUGCGAAUUUAAAGUUUGAAAGUUCAACUCUUUCUAGGCAUA